rnacentral:lncRNA from 1 species
GCCAGAGGAGUGACAGGUGUAGAUGGGUGGGCCGGGGUUGUGGAAGGAGUGCUCCAGGCAAGAGGAAUAGCAGAUACAAAGGCUUCCGGACUGGCGUUUGCUUUCAGUGAAUAUGAUCAGUGACAGGGAUCCUGAAAGGAGAGCACAAUAAAGCUCUGCAGAAGCCUCCAUCUGCCAAAAUAAGCUCUGGGAGAAGCCAGGUGCCAUGUUGUGAGGACACUGGAGCACCCCUAAGGAGGCCUGUGUUGUGGGAACUGAGGCCUCCUGCCAUCAGCCAGCACCCACUUGCCAGCCAUGUGAAUAAACCAUCUUGGAAGUGGAUCCUCCAGCCCAUUAUGUCCUCAAAUGACAGCAAAUUCAUGAACGACUGUGAGCCAGAACCACCCAGCUAAGUCACUACCAAAUUCUUGACCCACAGAGACUGAGAUAAUACAUAAUAUUUAUUAUUGUUUUAAGCUACUAGGUUUUGGGGGCAUUUUUUACCUAACAAUAGGCAACUAAUAUGGUAGAUGUGUUUU